rnacentral:rRNA from 1 species
CCCUAUAACCGACACAGGUGGUCAGGUAGAGAAUACUCAGGUGAUCGAGAGAAUCGUGGUUAAGGAACUCGGCAAAAUGCCCCCGUAACUUCGGGAGAAGGGGGGCCAUCCUGGUGAACGACCCUUGCGGUUGGGAGCUGGUGGUGGUCGCAGAGGCCAGAGAGAAGCGACUGUUUAUUAAAAACACAGGUCCGUGCGAAGAUGUAAGUCGAUGUAUACGGACUGACGCCUGCCCGGUGCUGGAAGGUUAAGAGGACCCGUUAACCCUUGGGUGAAGCGGAGAAUUUAAGCCCCAGUAAACGGCGGUGGUAACUAUAACCAUCCUAAGGUAGCGAAAUUCC